rnacentral:lncRNA from 1 species
UAAAGGGAGACAAAACUCGCAUAACUUUUUCGAAUUGGCACAUAAUACAACGGAAUGUCACUCUUGCAUACAAAUGGCACAUCAAUAUAAUUAAUUAACUGUGCAAUCGUGCUCCACCUUCAAUGAUGAUUCUAAAUUAUAAAUAUAACCAAAAGUUGUUAAUCUAUAGAUAGUGAAGACUAAUGAAAGCUAACCUACUGUAAAAAUAUUUCUUUGCAAUUUUUUAAAACUUCCUCAGAAAAAUGAUCGAGUCACUUGACUUUCAUAGCUCAUAAAUAACGUUUUUACACAAUAUUUGAAUAAAGUAGUUAAAGAUUAUUCGCUUCUCAAAGUGUAAGACGCAAUAAAAAUCGUGUGCUUGCACCAUCUUACCGAAAUACGGAUUUAAUUUUCUCAGUCCUGAACAUUUCGACAUUUCUUCGUGUAUUUUUAUCAAAACCGGUUUUAAACAAAUCACAUGUACGUGUUAAGAUCCGACUAAAUACCUAUUUCCCGAUAUGGUCAGGUAAAUU